ensembl:snoRNA SNORD33 Small nucleolar RNA Z195/SNORD33/SNORD32 family
GCAGUCGGUGAUGAGCAACAUUCACCAUCUUUCGUUUGAGUCUGACGGCCAUGAGAUCAAUCCCAUGCACCGCUCUGAGACCUGC